GAGGGAAAGGCGAAAAGAACCCCGGAGAGGGGAGUGAAAUAGAACCUGAAACCGUGUGCGUACAAGCAGUAGGAGCUCCGCAAGGAGUGACUGCGUACCUUUUGUAUAAUGGGUCAGCGACUUACUGUUCGUGGCAAGCUUAACCGUAUAGGGGAGGCGAAGGGAAACCGAGUCUGAUAAGGGCGCAUAGUCGCGGGCAGUAGACCCGAAACCGGGUGAUCUAGUCAUGCCCAGGGUGAAGGUGCGGUAACACGCACUGGAGGCCCGAACCCACUCCCGUUGCAAAGGUAGGGGAUGAGGUGUGAUUAGGAGUGAAAAGCUAAUCGAACCCGGAGAUAGCUGGUUCUCCUCGAAAGCUAUUUAGGUAGCGCCUCAUAUGUAUCCUCUCGGGGGUAGAGCACUGUUAUGGCUAGGGGGUCAUCGCGACUUACCAAACCAUUGCAAACUCCGAAUACCGAGACGGACUGUAUGGGAGACACACGGCGGGUGCUAACGUCCGUCGUGAAAAGGGAAACAACCCAGACCCACAGCUAAGGUCCCAAAUUUUGUGCUAAGUGGAAAACCAUGUGGAAAGGCACAGACAGCCAGGAGGUUGGCUUAGAAGCAGCCACCCUUUAAAGAAAGCGUAAUAGCUCACUGGUCGAGUCGGUCUGCGGGGAAGAUUUAACGGGGCUAAGCACAGAACCGAAGCUUGGGGUGCAUAACUUUGUUAUGCGCGGUAGAGGAGCGUUCCGUAAGCCGUUGAAGGUGGAUUGAGAAGUCUGCUGGAGGUAUCGGAAGUGCGAAUGCUGACAUGAGUAACGAUAAUGCGGGUGAAAAACCCGCACGCCGAAAGCCCAAGGUUUCCUUGCGCAACGUUAAUCGGCGCAGGGUGAGUCGGCCCCUAAGGCGAGGACGAAAGUCGUAGUCGAUGGGAAGCAGGUUAAUAUUCCUGCACCUCGCGUAAGUGCGAUGGAGGGACGGAGAAGGUUAGGUGUACCAGGCGUUGGUUGUCCUGGGGAAAGGCGGUAGGUUUGGAUCUUUGGCAAAUCCGGGAUCCUCUAAGACCGAGC
rnacentral:rRNA from 1 species